UCCUUGGUGGUCCAGUGGUUAGGACUCGGCGCUUUAGCUUCCGUGGCCCGGGUUCAAUCCCUGGUCGGGGAA